rnacentral:rRNA from 1 species
AAUCGCGCAUCAGCCGCGGCGCGGUGAAUACGUUCCCGGGCCUUGUACACACCGCCCGUCAAGCCAUGGAAGCCGGGAGUGCCUGAAGUGCGUGACCGCAAGGAGCGUCCUAAGGCAAUACCGGUGACUGGGGCUAAGUCGUAACAAGGUAAC